UCAAAGAUUAAGCCAUGCAUGUCUAAGUACAUGCCGAAAUAAGGCGAAACCGCGAAUGGCUCAUUAAAUCAGUUAUGGUUCCUUGGAUUGUUUCAUCCUACUUGGAUAACUGUGGCAAUUCUAGAGCUAAUACAUGCAGUGAGCCUGAAGCCCUUUGGGCGACGGGUGCUUUUAUUAGACCAAGAUCAAUCGGGCUUCGGCCCGUAUUGUGUGGUGACUCUGGAUAACUUUGUGCUGAUCGCAUGGCCACGAGCCGGCGACGUUUCUUUCAAGUGUCUGCCUUAUCAACUUUCGAUGGUAGGUUACUUGCCUACCAUGGUUGUUACGGGUGACGGAGAAUCAGGGUUCGAUUCCGGAGAGGGAGCCUGAGAAACGGCUACCACAUCCAAGGAAGGCAGCAGGCACGCAAAUUACCCACUCCCGGCACGGGGAGGUAGUGACGAAAAAUAACAAUACGGGACUCUUUUGAGGCCCCGUAAUUGAAAUGAGUACACUCUAAAUCCUUUAACGAGGAUCAAUUGGAGGGCAAGUCUGGUGCCAGCAGCCGCGGUAAUUCCAGCUCCAAUAGCGUAUACUAAAGCUGCUGCGGUUGAAAAGCUCGUAGUUGGAUCUCAGUUCCAGACGAGUAGUGCGUCCACCCGACGCUACAGCUCGUACUGAACAUAAUGCCCGUCUCGUCUUGGUGCCCUUCAUUGGGUGCCUCGAAGUGACCGGUGAUGUUACUUUGAAAAAAUUGGAGUGCUCAAAGCAGGCGAGUCGCCUGAACACACUUGCAUGGAAUAAUAGAGCAAGACCUCGUUUCUGUUCUGUUGGUUUUUGGAAUACGAGGUAAUGAUCAAGAGGGACGGACGGGGGCAUUCGUAUUGCGGCGCUAGAGGUGAAAUUCUUGGACCGUCGCAAGACGAACUACUGCGAAAGCAUUUGCCAAGAAUGUUUUCUUUGAUCAAGAACGAAAGUCAGAGGUUCGAAGGCGAUCAGAUACCGCCCUAGUUCUGACCAUAAACGAUGCCAACCAGCAAUCCGCCUGAGUUACUCAAAUGACUCGGCGGGCAGCUUCCGGGAAACCAAAGUAUUUGGGUUCCGGGGGAAGUAUGGUUGCAAAGCUG
rnacentral:rRNA from 1 species